CCUACGGGAGGCAGCAGUGAGGAAUAUUGGUCAAUGGGCGAGAGCCUGAACCAGCCAAGUCGCGUGAAGGAUGACGGCCCUACGGGUUGUAAACUUCUUUUGUCAGGGAGCAAUUGGGUCCACGCGUGGGCUUAGCGAGAGUACCUGAAGAAAAAGCAUCGGCUAACUCGGUGCCAGCAGCCGCGGUAAUACGGAGGAUGCGAGCGUUAUCCGGUUUUAUUGGGGUUAAAGGGUGCGUAGGCGGAAUAUCAAGUCAGCGGUAAAAAUUCGGGGCUCAACCCCGUCGUGCCGUUGAAAAUGAUGGUCUUGAGUGGGCGAGAAGUAUGCGGAAUGCGUGGUGUAGCGGUGAAAUGCAUAGAUAUCACGCAGAACUCCGAUUGCGAAGGCAGCAUACCGGCGCCCAACUGACGCUGAAGCACGAAAGCGUGGGUAUCGAACAGGAUUAGAUACCCCAGUAGUC
rnacentral:rRNA from 1 species